rnacentral:rRNA from 2 species
UNNNNAUNAGCGGAGGAAAAGAAACCAACAGGGAUUGCCCUAGUAACGGCGAGUGAAGCGGCAACAGCUCAAAUUUGAAAUCUGGCGCAAGCCCGAGUUGUAAUUUGGAGAGGAUGCUUCUAGGCAGCGGCCGUUCUAAGUUCCUUGGAACAGGACGUCAUAGAGGGUGAGAAUCCCGUAUGUGACCGGCGCGCACCUUCUACGUAGCUCCUUCGACGAGUCGAGUUGUUUGGGAAUGCAGCUCUAAAUGGGAGGUAAAUUUCUUCUAAAGCUAAAUACCGGCCAGAGACCGAUAGCGCACAAGUAGAGUGAUCGAAAGAUGAAAAGCACUUUGGAAAGAGAGUUAAAUAGCACGUGAAAUUGUUGAAAGGGAAGCGCUUGCAACCAGACUUGGCGGCGGUGUUCCGCCGGGCUUCUGCCCGGUCCACUCGCCGCCGCCAGGCCAACAUCAUCUGUGGCCGCCGGAGAAGACGUCGGGAAUGUAGCUCCCUCGGGAGUGUUAUAGCCCGCCGUGAUACGGCGCGCCGCGGGUGAGG